AUACGUAGGGUGCAAGCGUUAAUCGGAAUUACUGGGCGUAAAGCGUGCGCAGGCGGUUUUGUAAGACAGUGGUGAAAUCCCCGGGCUCAACCUGGGAACUGCCAUUGUGACUGCAAGGCUGGAGUGCGGCAGAGGGGGAUGGAAUUCCGCGUGUAGCAGUGAAAUGCGUAGAUAUGCGGAGGAACACCGAUGGCGAAGGCAAUCCCCUGGGCCUGCACUGACGCUCAUGCACGAAAGCGUGGGGAGCAAAUAGGAUUAGAUACCCUGGUAGUCCACGCCCUAAACGAUGUCAACUGGUUGUUGGGGAUUUAUUUUCUCAGUAACGAAGCUAACGCGUGAAGUUGACCGCCUGGGGAGUACGGCCGCAAGGUUAAAACUUAAAGGAAUUGACGGGG
rnacentral:rRNA from 1 species